UACAGAGGUGGCAAGCGUUGUUCGGAAUUACUGGGCGUAAAGGGCGCGUAGGCGGCCUUCUAAGUCAGACGUGAAAUCCCCCGGCUUAACCUGGGAACUGCGUCUGAUACUGGGAGGCUUGAGUAUGGGAGAGGGAUGUAGAAUUCCAGGUGUAGCGGUGAAAUGCGUAGAUAUCUGGAGGAAUACCGGUGGCGAAGGCGGCAUCCUGGACCAUUACUGACGCUGAGGCGCGAAAGCUAGGGGAGCAAACGGG
rnacentral:rRNA from 1 species